AUGAAAGCUGUCGAGUCUGACGGAGCACGCCGCGUGAGUGAUGAAGGUUUUCGGAUCGUAAAGCUCUGUUGUCAGGGAAGAACGUCUACCGUUCUAACUGCUAUGAACCUUGCCGGACCCGGACGAAAAGCCCCGGCUAAAUUCCUGGCCACCGCCCCGGGAAUACCUUAGGUGGCAGGGUUUGCCCGGAUUUAUGGGGGGUAAAGCGGGCGCAGGCGGUUUUUUAAUCCGGGGGUUAAACCCCAGGGUUCACCUCCGGACCCCCUGGAAAAUGGGGAACUUUGAUGGCAAAAAAGAAAGUGGAAUUUCCCCGGGAACGGGGAAAUGGGUAAAAAAGGGGAAGAACCCCCGUGGGCAAAGGGACUCUCCGGGCUGGAACUGAACCCUGAAGGCCCGAAACCUGGGGGAGCGAACAGGAUUAAAUACCCCUGGUAGUCCCACGCCGUAAAACGAUGAAUGCUAGGUGUUUGGGGUUUUCAUACCCUUGGUGCCGAAGCUAAACACAAUAAGCAUUCCGCCUGGGGAGUACGGUCGCAAGACUGAAACUCAAGAAAUUUUGACGGG
rnacentral:rRNA from 1 species